UCGCCUGUUUAUCAAAAACAUGGUUUCUUGAUUAUUUAGGAAAUUUAACCUGCCCACUGAAAUGAUUGUUUGAAGGGCCGCGGUAUUUUGACUGUGCGAAGGUAGCGUAAUCAUUAGUCUUUUAAUUGGAGGCUGGUAUGAAUGGUUGGACGAGGCAAAUUCUAUCUUUUAUUAAUUGUUAUUGAAUUUAGAAGUUAAGUAAAAAUACUUAAAUUGUGUUAAGGGACGAGAAGACCCUAUAGAGUUUAAUAUAUAAAGUUUUAAUUGAGUUAGUAUGAAAUUUUUGGUUAAUUAUGUAAUAUAUUUGAUUGGGGUGAUUAGAAGAUAAAUGAAACUCUUUGUUGAAGUGAAUAUUUUUAAUAGUGUGAGGACCCAUUAAAUGAUGAUUAUAAGAUUAAAUUACCUUAGGGAUAACAGCAUAAUUUUUUUUGAGAGUUCUUAUCGAGAAAGGAGUUUGUGACCUCGAUGUUGGAUUAAGAUGAAUUUUGGGUGUAGAUGUUUAAAUAUUAGGUCUGUUCGACCUUUAAUUUCUUACAUGAUCUGAGUUCAAACCGGAGA
rnacentral:rRNA from 1 species